rnacentral:lncRNA from 1 species
UAGAAAAGAAAGUUCUAUCUACCAAAAAAAAAAAAAAAAAAAAAAAUAGCUUAUGGGAAAAGAUCUCUUUGCCAGGAAGCUAAAAACUUUCUGGCAUGGCAAAGACAAAAGACCUUAAGUGGAGGUUAAAAAUAAUGUGAUUUUUAAUCUACGUUUUUGUUGCAAUGUAUAUUCAUUUAAACACUUAAAAAUGGAAGAUGUACCAAGAUUAAAUUAAGACAUGAUAUUUUUAAAAACACUUAGUUUUUAUAUAGAUAAAGGGCAUAACCUCUGUUGACAUGUACUACUCUCAUAAUACAGCAGUCAGACUUGUGAGUCUACAACAGCGUUCCUCUGUAGUUAAACAGGAAACCAAGUUAGAAAAAAAAAAAGGAGUUCCCAUUGUGGCUUAGUGGUAACAAACCCGACUAGUACCAGGAGGACGCACAUUCAAUCCCUGGCCUUACUCAGUGGGUUAAGAAUCCAGUGUUGCUGUGAGCUGUGGUGUAGGUCACAGAUGAGGCUUGAGUCCCAUGUUGCUGUGGCUGUGGCAUAGGCUGGCAGCUAUAGCUCCAGUUUGACCCCUACCCUGGGAACUUCGAUAUGCCAUGAAUGUGGCCCUAAAAAAAAAAAUGUGAAAAAACAGCUGGGAUGAACAGGUUGAGAUCUGAGCUUCCAUUAAGUAUUUACCACUGACGCAGAUCUCUAACCUUUAAUUUUUGAAUACUUUAGCAUAUGUACUUAAAAUUAUCAAAAUCCAUGGAGUUCCCAUCGUGGCUCAGUGGUUAACGAAUCCGACUAGGAACCAAGGGUUCUAUCCCCGGCCUUGCUCAGUGGGUUAAGGAUCCAGCAUUUCCAUGAGCUGUGGUGUUGCAGACUCGCUCAGAUCUUGCACUGCUGUGGCUCUGGCGUAGGCUGGUGGCCACAGCUCCGAUUCGACCCCCAGCCUGGGAACCUCCAUAUGCCGCAGGAGUGGCCCAAGAAAAUCGCAAAAAGACAAAAAAAAAUUAUCAAAAUCCAAUAUGAACGUAAUAAAAAUAGGUCAACCCUAAUACUUUGGCAACCAUUACAGGAAAAAAUGCUAGGUCUUCCUGCCAAGUAGUAGUAUUUGCAGUCAUACUUUUAAGAGGCAAAUACUUGAAACUCUUCUUGAAUUUUGACUUUAGGGAGUUUUCUCCAAACUCUAAAUAAUAUCAAUACUUUCUUGACUAAAUUAAUUUGUAUUAUUUAUUUCACUACCAUCAAAUAGGAAAAACAGCUUAUUUAUUCCUCUCUCCACUUCUCCCACCCUCCUCCUUUGUCUGACUGUUAAGAGGUUUAUUAAUAUUUUUGGUUCUUAUCUUGGCUACCUGUAUACAUUUAGAUAAAACACCCAACUAUAAUUUCUCGCUCUAUCAAGUCUGAACAAUGGUUUAUAACUGUACCAAAGUGUUCCUCUAUCGGCCCUUUUAUUUUUCUCGUCUAUUGGUAUGAAUAACUUGACAUUGCCCAAUUCAGGAGUAGCUACCUGACUUACGUCACUUUGAUCGUGUCCUGAAAGUAAUUUGUGUAUUUGCUGACUAGAAUCUGCUUCUCCAGUCAUCAUGACAUUUUAUUGAGUAUCAUGUAUUAAAUUCUUUCUAGCAAACAAUAUCUAUGGUAGGUUCCAUUCUCUGCAUUGAAUCCUCUAUGUUAUUUAUGUUCCUGGGGGUUUAUUAUAAUUUGUUUGAAUUCCCUGAACACCAGGUAGUGAGAUUUCAAUCACUGGUAAUUUGUCUUUUGAUAAAGAGUGCUCCUCAUUUCUCAGUAUAUACAAGUAUUGGACCAUCCUGUUGUACACCUGAAACUAAUGCAAUGUUGUAUAUCAAUUAUACUUUAAUAAGCGAAAAAAGCCCCUAAAGUCCUGAGCAAAUAUCUUCUCUUUGUACUUCUCAUUUUUUACCUCCUCUCUCUCCUCUCUCUCAUUUUUACCCUUGGUUUCACAAAAUUCGUCAUGUGGUGCCACUCUCCUGAAAAUAUUUCAUUAGAUGAUCACAUGUUUUUUGGCCCCCUCCUCACUCUCAUUCUUUGCCGUUGCAUAUUCCAAAUAUUGCGGAGAUUGUCUCAGGCUGUGUUAGGAUUACUGCUCGUACCCUUGUCAGUAGGAGGGUACUUUUAAAAAUUAACUUCGGUAAUUUCAGUUACAUUUGGGAAAAGAGGGCCCUCAAAGAUGUUCAAAGAGGAGUCAAGGGCACCAGUUUCUAUGAGAUGCAACAAAGUUUUGACAUAGAACGAGUUGAAAGGGGAAAGAAUGUGGAAAAUCAUUCACCCACCUCUGGGUCCUGCCUGGAGGUUUGUCCAUCAGAUACGGUGACAGGAUACGUGUAUAAGGAAAUGAAGCUUGUGGGUGUAGAAUGGGUCUUCCGUCUUCAGGACACCCGGUCACCAUAUAUUCUGUAUAUAGAAUCUGUAUUAAACCUGUAGUUUUCCAGACCAACCGUGGAAUUUUAACUCCGAAUUCUUCUGCUAAUGUGCCUCUUUCUGCUGAGAAUAGCUGCUCCCUACCACACAGGUUUUAGCUACACCUUCUUCCACUUGUCAAACAUAUAUUCACCUUUCAAUCUUAUUUGGAGUCUUUAACACUUACCUCUUGCGGAAAGCUGGCUGUGCCAUUCCAAUGUAAUUGACUCACUGUCCUACAGUGAUAUAUUAACCUUAACAUUGUAUACGAAGUGGAACAGAGUGGAACAGGAAACCGGUGUUACUUCAGAGUUAAAUUACCAACUUUCCAAAAAAUAGUAAUUACAUAUGAUUGAAAGCCAGAGUUGAUAAAGAAACUUGGUCCCACCUGAUUUUACUAUUGUCUUAGGUGUCUGGUCUAUAUCCGAUAACUUCUCAAGAUUUUUUUUCUUUUUUUUUAAAGAAGAGUUGUGGUUUUGUUUUACAAGAGGAGGAAAAUCUUGAGAACCCUCAUCAUUUAAAAAGUGAAAAAUCCCAAGAAAGCAUUUAAGGCAUUUAUAGAAACAACCUGUUCACCAUAAAUGAUACUUAAAGUAACCAGUUGUACCCAAACUAGAGGAAAAAAAAAAAAGCAUUUUAAGUAUGCUUUUUAUCAUUUGUUCCACUUCAGUGAAACUCCAGAGAAAGCUAAAACCUAUGUAAAGUGUCAUCAUGCCUACUUUAUCCCGAGUAAGAGGCACAGUGUGGCAAAGACUUGUUCACCUACCUUUCUUUUCUUGCUCUUCCUUUAAUAUUAGAACUCCUGGUUUUUAGCCGAGGAUACCCUCCCCUUCCCUGACUCCAGUGAGGCUCUUCCCAGCCUCCCUGAUUUGCUGACUGGCCAAGGGAGCGGUGGAACAGCCACUCUGGAUGCACAGAUAAAAUCCACACACAGAGGACGGCCGUCAUUUUGCCAGGCCUGGAAUGUUCACCUCUGGGCAGCCCUGCGAGCGAGAACUGUGAAUCUUUCUUGUUUAAACUGCUGUAUUUAUGGAUCUCAAUGUUACAAGAACUGGUAUAAAUCAAUACCAACACAUCAGAGAAAACCUAAAGAAAUGCUGUCUUUGGGAGUUCCCGUCAUAGCUCAGUGGUUAACGAAUCUGACUAGGAACUAUGAGGUUGUGGGUUCGAUCCCUGGCCUUGCUCAGUGGGUUGAGGAUCCGGCGUUGCCGUGGCUCUGGCGUAGGCCGGCGGCUACAGCUCCGAUUCAACCCCUAGCCUGGGAACCUCCAUAUGCCACGGGAGCGGCCUUAGAAAUGGCAGAAAGACAAAAAAAUAAAAAAAUAAAAAAAAAAGAAAUGCUGUCUUUGAGGGUUCCCAUGGUGGCACAGUAGAAACGAACUUGACUCGUAUCCAUGAGGAGGCAGGUUUAAUCCCUGGCCUCGAUCAGUGGGUUAAGGAUCCCACGUUGCAGUGAGCUGUGGUGUAGGUCGCAGAUGCAGCUCCGAUUUGACUCCCAGCCUGGGAACUUCCAUAUGCCAUGGAUGUGACAC